GCCCACGUUACACUGAAAGUAUGAAGUCCGGUCUUUGUUCAGUUCGGAUAGCUUGAGGGGGUUCAGUUUCUCAGUCUGAGCCUGUUUGGGUCAUUUCAGGCUGUGCAGACGGUGUUUUGUAUUUCAGACGGCGACAGUGACGACCGCAGACGGAGUUUGAUCGUCAGCGUAACAUCUGAUCCCGUGAAUGGAAAGGCCUGCGUUAAACACCUGAAGACGCUGGAGUUAAUUAGAGACGGAGCUGUGACUAAUGAGUUCCGGAUGAAGGAGGAGACGACAGGAAACAACCUGCAGCUGUGAGGUCAUGUGACCGGUCUGACUGUCUCCCAGUGAAACCAGUGGAACAGCUGAUAUCAGGUAUUCUACACCCUCGUCCUUCACCUGAUCAUCUGAGUCCAGCUCACUGACCUGGG